rnacentral:lncRNA from 10 species
GGUGAAAGUCAGUUGUCUUCUGGGUGCAGCUACAGCUAUUCCACCUGUCAUGCAGAAAGAACACUGACCAUAAGAUCUGCCCUCUUAACACAUUUUUAAGAGCGUGAUACAGGAUUGUUAACAAUAAGGAACAUGGUUGUUUGUUUUUCUCUUAAUUGCUUUUUUAUUACGAAGCUAAAUGAUUUUUAAGAGCGAAAUUUGAAUAUAAAGAAAAUAAUAGGGCUUUUGACUUUUCUACUACAAGAAGGUGGCUUCCUCAAGGCAUAUGAUUGCAAUCCAAGCGAUGCUAUUUCCAGAUGGUAAACAACCCUCUUUUUUACAAUCAUGUUGCCUACAAGUCUAGGCAGACAACCCUUGGUACUUACAUACACCAGGUACUAGAGAAAAGCUGGAAAAUGCAGCCAGUGGUCUCAAGGCUUUCAAAAAUGAGACCUUAAUAAAG